rnacentral:lncRNA from 1 species
UAAAAAUCAGUUGAUUGGGGUUUUUUUGUCCCUCUGCGCUUUCCGUGAGAAAAGUUGGUCGGGGAGGGUCAAAGAGAUGGCGCCCUUUAGAGGAACACAUAGAUCAUCAUUUCUUUGAAGUCAUUUACAAAUAGGAAAGCUGACCACCAUGCCUGUGGGUGUGAUAUAUGCAUCUGUAAGUGUACGUAUGGCCAAAGAAGAGGAAUCCAAAGAGCAGCUAGUGAGACCAGAGCAGCUCUCCAUAUAUACUGUGCCACCUCUUCAGUCUAAAUAUGUUGAAGAGCAGCCUGGGUAUUUACAAAUGGGCUUUGCAUCUAUUCACACUACAAAUGGUUGUUAUAUUGGCUGGUGCAAGGUGCUACCAUGUUUAUGCCUGACCCUAAACUCAUGGAUCAUGGACAAUCCUAUCCAGAAGAUGAAGAUAUGGACACCACUAGAAGCUGAAAUCGACUGCAUAAAGAACUACAAAAUGUGGGAAGUUGCAAAUAAUGAUGAAAAAAAUUAUGCAAUGGGUAACUGACAUACACAAUAUAACUUAAAUCAAGUUUUUCCUUGACAUCUUCCGAUGUACAGUUUGACCAAUCAUGUAAGUGAUUAACACAAAGUUUGAAUGCAAACCAAACAAUAUUAAAUGAUUGAUUAAGUGAUACAGGUUGAACUAUUAGCUCACAUUUGAUGAGUUUCAGUGAUUUAUUAGAAAGCAAAGAAAAAAGCAAUGAUAAACACCAA